rnacentral:rRNA from 1 species
UCCUACGGGGGGUAGCAGUGAGGAAUAUUGGUCAAUGGUCGGGAGACUGAACCAGCCAAGCCGCGUGAGGGAUGAAGGUACAGAGUAUCGUAAACCUCUUUUGUCAGGGAACAAAGGCGGGGACGUGUCCCCGGAUGAGUGUACCUGAAGAAAAAGCAUCGGCUAACUCCGUGCCAGCAGCCGCGGUAAUACGGAGGAUGCGAGCGUUAUCCGGAUUUAUUGGGUUUAAAGGGUGCGCAGGCGGUCUGUUAAGUCAGCGGUCAAAGCCCGGGGCUCAACCCCGGCCCGCCGUUGAAACUGGCAGU